GGGGGGGGGGGGGGGGGGGCUGGGGGCGGGCGGGGCGAGGGGGAGGGCGGGGGGUUGGGGGGGUGCUCGGGGGGCGAACGGGUGAGUGACACGGGAGGAACCUGCCCUUGACGUUGGGAGAACUUCAGGAAACUGGGGCUAAUACCGGAUCGGAGCCCCUGCUGCAUGGUGGGGGUUGGAAAGUUUCGGCGGUUGGGGAUGGACUCGCGGCUUAUCAGCUUGUUGGUGGGGGAGUGGCUUACCAAGGCUUUGACGGGUCGCCGGCCUGAGCGGGUGACCGGCCACAUUGGGACUGCGAUACGGCCCAGACUCCUACGGGAGGCAGCAGUGGGGAAUAUUGCACAAUGGGCGGAAGCCUGAUGUAGCAACGCCGCGUGCGGGAUGAAGGCCUUCGGGUUGUAAUCCGCUUUCUCCUGUGACGAAGCGUGCGUGACGGUAAUGGGUAAAGAAGCACCGGCUAACUACGUG
rnacentral:rRNA from 1 species